rnacentral:rRNA from 1 species
CCACUGCAUUGCCUCAGUACGGCGAGUGAGCGGCAAAAGCUCAAAUUUGAAAUCCCCCCGGGGAGUUGUAAUUUGAAGAUUGCGUCUUGGAGGCGACCGUGUCUAUGUUCCUUGGAACAGGACGUCACAGAGGGUGAGAAUCCCGUGCGGCACGGCCCCCGGCUCCUUAUAAGGCGCUCUCGACGAGUCGAGUUGUUUGGGAAUGCAGCUCAAAGUGGGUGGUAAAUUCCAUCUAAAGCUAAAUACAGGCGAGAGACCGAUAGCGAACAAGUACAGUGAUGGAAAGAUGAAAAGCACUUUGAAAAGAGAGUGAAACAGCACGUGAAAUUGUUGAAAGGGAAGGGCAUGCCGUCAGAUUGUCAGUGUGGGUAAGAAGCGGGGUACAAAGACUGUGGAACGUGGCCCUCGGGUGUUAUAGCCGCAGUUCAUGCCCCGUCUCUUUCCGAGGCCUGCUUUGAGGACACCGACGUAAUGACGGUACGCCGCCCGUCUUGACC